UAUGUGAUCGUCUCUCGCAUAUCAAUAAGCGGAGGAAAAGAAACUAACAAGGAUUCCCCUAGUAACGGCGAGUGAAGCGGGAAGAGCUCAAAUUUGAAAUCUUAAAGGGUUUCCCUUUACGAAUUGUAGUUUAAAGAAGUGUUUUCUGUUGAGGUUUUGGUAAAAGUUCUUUGGAAUAGGACAUCAUAGAGGGUGAGAAUCCCGUAUUUGACCUUUACUUUCAACUUUGUGAUACACUUUCUAAGAGUCGGAUUGUUUGGGAAUGCAGUCCAAAAUGGGUGGUAAAUUUCAUCUAAAGCUAAAUAUUGGCGAGAGACCGAUAGCGAACAAGUACCGUGAGGGAAGAUGAAAAGAACUUUGAAAAGAGAGUUAAACAGUACGCGAAAUUGUCAAAAGGGAAGCGUUUGACACCAGUGUUGUUUUUCUGAAAAUCAAUUAAAGAACUGUUUAUGCUAAGCUGUUUAGACUUUAUCAGCUAAUCUGUUUAGUUUUGAGCUUUUCUUUAAUGCACUUUUCAGUUAACAAGUCAACAUCAAUUUCUUUUGCUGUAAAAAAGCUUGAGGAAGGUGGCUUGAGAUUCGUCUUAAGUGUUUAUAGCCUCUUGCCUAUGCAGUCGGAGAGAUUGAGGUCUGCAGCGUAGAUCCUUCGGGGCUAAAUGCAUUUGUGCUAAGUUAUAGCAUUUUAUAGACAACUUGUUGACUAUGAUUUGUCUUGUAGCUUACUCGCUUAUGUUAUUUUACCUACGCUUAGGAUGUUGACACACGCGCGUGCUCG
rnacentral:rRNA from 1 species